rnacentral:lncRNA from 1 species
UGCUCUGGCAUAGGCUGGCAGCUGUAGCUCUGAUUCAACCCCUAGCCUGGGAACCUCCAUAUGCUGCAGGUGUGGCCCUUAAAAGAAAAAAAAAGACAAAAAAUAAAAUAAAUAAACUGAAUAUAAGUAAACACAUUUAAGAUUAAAAACAAAAUAAAUGAUUGCAGCACAAAGUUAAGGUUUUGAAUAAUCAACCUCUGUCUUGGAUUUGCCCUUGAGAACUGACUGGACCCAACCACAGCUCAAGCACCUUCUCUGCACAGAAGCAAACUGCCAACACCUGUUAGUAUUCUCAGCAGUCACUCAGGAGCUCCCGGGACUCUGGGUUAGAACCGACCAUACCAAGCAUCAUGCUAAGACCCAGAGUACACUGUCUCAUGGGAUCCCAACAGCAACUCUGUAGGGCUGGGGCACUGGUUUCGCUAUAGGGAGAAGAAUUCAACAGACAACUUUUCCAGGGAAGUCCUAUCUCCUGACUUGAGUUGCUACCCUAUAUUGUGCUCUUUCUACCUCCUUCCUCUCUGAACAACUUUUGUUCCCAACUCUGAAGUUCUGGCCUCUGUGAUGCCCUUGGUCCUCCAGACCUAGGGCUCAUAUUGGCCGUGGAACCUUGCCUGGACACAUGUUUGACAUAUCCUGUGAUCCUGCUCACCUUGGGGAACCAACCUGCGCCCAUCAACCGCUUGCCAGAACCUUUUCCAGAACAGCAGGGGUUUGGGACCUCCAGCCAGAAGAAGUGAUUCACUCCCUUUCAUGUUUUAUCUCUGGGACAAGAUGAACCAUGAGACAUAACUAACCAGAAACCCAGUUACUGGGAAAACUGAGGAAAUUAGGUGUCUGGAAGACCGAGAAUGCAUUUUGGGCCCAGCCCUUGCUGUACUGGAGCAAUGUCUGUGCACACAGCAGCCUGACUAGAGGUCACAAGCCGCUAAGCUGGGGGAGGGAGGAUCAGGCAGGAAAUCUAACUGGAGGCUGUGGUGUGCUGCAAUGGGGACGGGGGUGAGUUAGGGGGUGAGCUGUGUGCCUCAUCCAAACAGCUGAUUGCCCCCAGCUUUUGCAUGAGUUAGGAAUGUACACCCGACUCACAAAAAAGAUGCCUGCUCUUUUUUUUUUUUUUUGCUUUGCAGGGCCGCACCUGUGGCAUAUGGAAGUUCCCAGGCUAGGGGUUGAAUCGGAGCUGCACCUGCCGUCUGCACAGCAACAGCAAUGAGGAAUCCGAGCCAUGUCUGCUGCCUACACCACAGCUCACAGCAAUGCCAGAUCCUUAACCCACUGAGCGAGGCCGGGGAUCAAACCUGCACCCUCAUGGAUACUAGUUGGGUUCGUAACAGGAACUCCCCUGCCCUCUUUUUAAAAGUCAGAAAAUCCAGACUUCUAUGUGAAAUUUCAGAUUCUGAAUGAGUCAUGUAAUACACACACACACACACACACACACACACACACACACACACGAGCCAGUCUACACCCUCUGAUCUAGAAUAUUGAUUAGGAAUGUUUGUUGUUUGAGAGCCUGCAAAGCAUGGUAGUUCUCAUCAACUUUAGAGCCCGAUGGCCUGUGUCUGAAUCCUGGCUCCAUCACUCGCUGAUUGUCCUAUAAUCUCUCUUUGCUUCAGUUUCCUCAUCUACCCAAAGAAGAUGAUAUCAGUACUUACUAGUCAGGAUGAAAAAGUGUUAAAUAAAUGAACAUCCACAAAGGGCUUUCAGUGCAAUGGGGUGUUUAUUUAAUCAAGUUCUAAAGAAGCGUUUGUUUCAAAUGUUCUAAAAAAUAUAUCCCAAGGACCCAGGCCAGCUUUGGAACUUCCUGGAUGGAGGAUAUAUUAAAAUUUCUCACUCAGGCUUAAGCUCAUUGGGAUGGAGAAACAUUUUGGAAUAAAAGAUGCCACAUAAGUAGAUGGGGAAAAGUGAAGAAACUGCAGAAUGUCAUUUUUUGGUGGCCUCGCCUAAACGACAGCGGGACUUUAAAUACCCCAGCACUAGGAUCUGAUGGUUUUUAUGUGGUAAUGAGAUUUGUGUUGAUUAGGACGUAUUUCUUUCUGGAUUCUAACAACCCUCUGCACAAGCCUUGGGCAAUUUUGAAAGAGAGAAGGCCAAUGGUUCCUCCAGUACCAGGAAGGAGGGAAUAACGGAAUAUUCCUUUAUGACUUUGCACUGAACUAAGUUGGCCUUUGGUCCUGGGUGGGGGCACAGUGGCCGGGAGUGGACGCUUGCUCUCUGCUAACAGGCAGAAUAGGGGCAGCGGACGGGGCCAGAUGAAAGCUCAAUAGCUUCCUCUCUUCUCAAGAGACAAUUAACUUCCAUCUGUUGAAACCUACCCCCCCGCCCCCAGGGGCGGGGGGUGGGGGGGACCCCCUGAGAUCCCAUUUAACCUCCUUCCACCAACCCAGUGUGACGUUAAGAAAACCAAACCCAUUUGAAACACAAGCUCUUCUACAUCAAAAGUCACGGGAGAGGAAUGGGUGACCUACAGGUCACCAUGUGAGACACAAAGAAGCAAAAAGGGAUGCUUAGGAACAACUGCUAUUCUGAGGAGUCUGAGACUUAACAUCUGCUCUGGCCCAAGAGCCAGCUUGAGCCAGAGAAGACAAGGGAUAUAAAAUACAUUAAAAAAGUGCAACCUCAAAAGAAAAAGAAACCUCUCAUUCUUUUGACUUACAAAGAUGAAAGCACUCCCUCGUGUUCCUAAGAGGACUGAGUGGCUGGAAAUAGGGUAGCAGGUGCUGCUUGGGGUCCCUCUGAGGGGCUGGACUCAGAGCACAAACCAGCUGCUGGCCCCAAGACGAGUGCUGGUGCCUCAACACAAGUUGCCUCCUUUAAACAGAUCAAACAGUUCUUCCCAUGGCAAAGCUGGAGCCACUCUACUUCCAUCCUGGUUCCAAACAAUUCAGCUACUUGCAACCUAAGACACAGGGAGGCGUCUGGGAGGCCUGGGUGGUAGAAUUGCCGCCUGAAGUGUGCGAAGCAGGAAGGCCCUGCCCUCCGUUUCCAACUGCCGGGUGACUUUUUCUCCCCCACCCGCUGCCUUUCCACUACCCUUCACGUCCUGGGUUUUAUUACUCUAAUUUCUAAUUCUCCUGGUCUCUCCUUUCUUUUUAGGGCCCCACCUGCAGCAUAUGGAGGUUCCCAGCCNAAAAAAAAAAAAAAAAAAAAAAAAAAAAAAGAUCUAUUUGGAGGCACGACUACUCACUUUCUCUUUGACAUGGUGAAUUUCCAACACGGCUCCCAUCCCGAAAACAAUCUACCACUGACAUAGCCAAGACAAUACAGAUGCUCAUUUCUACUCAUUCAAACAUACUCUUCUUUCUCUCUCCUACAGUACUCUGGCUUUUUACUGAGUUCUAGUCUUUAAGAACAAGGUCAAAAGAGGAAUUCCCUUGUGGUGCAGUGGGUUAAGGAUCUGGGGUUGUCACUGCAGUGGCUUGGGUCACUGCUGCAGUGCAGGUUUGAUUCCUGGCCGAAGAACUUCCACAUGCUGCAGGUGCAGCAAAAAAAAAAAAAAAAAGAACAAGGACAAAGGAAAUAAUAUAACACUGGCUUCAUCUUUUUCUAUCAAUGCCAUUGAUUUUGCUAUUACACUUCUUCCAGCAGCUCUGGUUUGCUCUUCUAUCUCCAAAGGAAAAGGGGGAAGAGAUUUUUGUGCAGAAUAGGAUAGCAAGUCAAAUCCUGGUAUCUGCUGAGAAGACGGAAACAGAUGGAGGAAAUAGUGGUAAAAGGGGGAAGACAAGAUAUGGUUCUUUUUCUCCCAGUGUCAGUAAGUAUCUCUGCUUCAACGAAGUUGGGGAAAUCAUGGUAAGCCAACUAAAUUCAUUAGCAGGAUAACUAAUUCAUUUUGAUUUGCGAGUUUUAAUAUUGCCCAUUCCAGAUCCAGAAACCCCCUCAUAUGUAUUAAUUUUAUAAAUUUUAUAAAAUAAUUUUGUAAAUAUUAUAAAAUUAAUAUAUAUAGUAAUUUUUCUAUAAUGACAC